UACAAGUUGGAUGGAUGUCACUCUGUA
rnacentral:piRNA from 1 species